ACAGCCACAUCACAUUGAAACACCAGUUCCCGAAAGAUCACUGAAGUUAAGCAAUGUUGAGUCUGGUCAGUACCUAUAUAGGUGACUGAUUGAGAAUACCAGGUGUUGUAAG